rnacentral:lncRNA from 1 species
AAAAUCAGUCUUAUUUCUCGAUGAAAACUGAAAUAACUAAACAUACUUAUCAAUUUCAAUUGUGCUUAAGGUUGACAGUUUAAUCAAAGAUUUUUCUCAAAUUUGCAUAUAAACGGUACCUUAGAUUAAAGCUAACUACUAUCACAAUCGUAUUUGAAACAACCUGAAAUGUUAUUUUCCAAAACUGAUCAAAUUAAAUUUAAUUUCAAAUGCCAUGUAAAUUUUAUUUCGCAAAUUAAAUUAUUAUGCAAUAUUCAAAUUGGUUUCAUUUAUGCAAAUCAAAUAAAACCCAAAUAAUCCAAACCCAAAACUAAGUAAACCCAAAUCAAGUUCUUGGAGAAGUUGUUGAGGACUUUGUUGACUAAUAAUACUAAUAAAUAAAUAAUAUUAGAUUCUAGAACUACCUAGAAACCCACGCCAUUUUUUUCAUCCCCACCCAUUUCUCUCUUUCUCUUUUCUCUUUCUUUUCUUUUCUUCUCUUCUCCACUACGUCUCCUUUCUCGAUCGAUUUUUCAGCCACCGUUCGACAGGAACUAGGUGGCAAUCGAACCCACAGGCGCUGGUAAUCAUGUUACCUCCUCUUGGAUGAGUGGAGUCCCUAUUGAUCACAAAGGGGUUUUUUGAUUGAUUAAAUGCUUUAUCUCAACUUGAAUUCAAGUUAACACUAAUUAUCUUAAGAUUUGAGUUGAGUUUUAAAAAAAAGAAGAAUCUCCCUUAAUUU